rnacentral:lncRNA from 1 species
GUGGUGGGGGUGGGGAAGGAGGGUAGGGAUGCCGGGGGCCACUCCUGCGUGGUGCGAGUGGGAACGCGCGCGCGCGCCUGGGUGUGUGUUGUUAGCUGAUAUCCAUGGCAGCUGCAGUGGCAGGGUGCGUGUGCGUGUGUGUGUGUACUAGUUGUACUGUACUGGCAGAGGGGAGGAGGCAGGGGAGGAGGGGCGCGCGCGCCGGGUGGGGAGCCACGGAGGGCUUCGCCGCUGCCUCCCUCCCUCCCUCCGCAGCUUGACCCGGUAGUGAAGGCAGAGAGAGAGGCAGGCUGGGUCCGCCUGGCAGCCUACGGGAGGAGGCGGGAGCCGGGAAGGAGGGGAGCCGAGGCCCGGCGUGGGGAGGCCGGCAGGAAGGGCCUCGAGCCCAGUGCGGACCUUUCUUCAGCCUCUGUGCUACCGAGCCGCGCGCCAGGCUCCUGUGCGAGGAGGACGCGCUGACUCCCUCCGACCUGGGCUCCGAUGGAGCAGAAAUAGCGGGACCUGGACUUGUGGCGCGCCUGGUGCCACAUCUCGGGCUCUGCGAGCGUCCUGGCGCGGGAUCCUGCCGUUUGCAUCCAAGAGAGGGGAGGACAGGGGCUAAAGGAUGCAGGGAGGCUGCUGAUUUCCACUGAAGAGCUAAUUUCCUGUGAGACAUUAACAGUGAUUUAAGAAAAAGAUUCCUGUAACUGUAAUGUCUUACAAUAACAGAAUGCAGGAGAGCACAUAUCAAUGAAGAAAAGACAAAAUGUACUUAUCCAUGAAGCUGAGGUUAAGAAACCAGUGUCUUCAAGAGCCAAGGACAGCACUGGGUCUGUGCAGAGUUGAGAGAUGGUGAUGACAUGUGGUUUCCAGCAUUCUUGGCCCAGUCUGGGAUUC